rnacentral:rRNA from 1 species
GACGAACGCUGGCGGCGUGCUUAACACAUGCAAGUCGAACGGACAGGCCCUGCUUUUGUGGGGUGCUCGAGUGGCGAACGGGUGAGUAACACGUGAGUAACCUGCCCUUGACUUUGGGAUAACUUCAGGAAACUGGGGCUAAUACCGGAUAGGAGCUCCUGCUGCAUGGUGGGGGUUGGUAAGUUUCGGCGGUUGGGGAUGGACUCGCGGCUUAUCAGCUUGUUGGUGGGGUAGUGGCUUACCAAGGCUUUGACGGGUAGCCGGCCUGAGAGGGUGACCGGCCACAUUGGGACUGAGAUACGGCCCAGACUCCUACGGGAGGCAGCAGUGGGGAAUAUUGCACAAUGGGCGGAAGCCUGAUGCAGCAACGCCGCGUGCGGGAUGACGGCCUUCGGGUUGUAAACCGCUUUCGCCUGUGACGAAGCGUGAGUGACGGUAAUGGGUAAAGAAGCACCGGCUAACUACGUG